rnacentral:miRNA from 1 species
AUAAAGAUGUAUGCUCAAUAG